UGGUUCUGAACAACAUUAAUUGCAAAAUGAACACCUUAAAGAGUUCUGCACUACAAUCUUAACAGAGCACUCGCAAAUCUUAAAAACCAACGAUUCAUCAUCUGCUGGUUCAGUUACCACCUUCAACAUGUGGCAUAUCAAUCCUUACAUGCAAAUAUAGUAUAGCUAAGCACAGAGUGAUCACAAGCACUUCCACGCCAGCUGACUAGGAUGUAAUCUAGCUUGCCAUGUCUUGCUCAAAAUACAGGUUAAGCUCAAUGUGGCAAACACUGGGCUUAGAAUCACUACCACACCACAAAAUGAGAUGGUAGCUAACAUUCCCCUCCAAUGUCUAAUGUACACAACGUGUUUCAUAAUCAAUCUCGCAGACACCGGAUCUAAAAUACUACAUCCGUAUAACUCAUACCUCAGAAAGAGCACUUCAAGCAUGAAAUCUGGCAGCUCAACCCUGUCCCCCUCAUCAAAAUCACCUCAUACACUAUGGACCUCGUACAUUGGCACCGGCAGCAUCAUCUACAAAAUGUAUCAACCAUUCACUUGGUUAUCAGUUGAACAAUGACAUGUCUUUUCAAAUUGUCUUUGCAUAAAAUAAUUUUGUCUACUGAAGCUUGUAGCCGAGCACUUCAUAGCUCAUAAUCAUAUUCAUAAGUUCGUAGUCCAGGCUAUACGAGCUAUACAUCAGUGCCAGUUGUAAAACCCCGGAUCGCUAGUGUAAACUUUGAUUUGUACAAAAGACAGUAAGACAUUUCUUGGUCAAUCACCACAAACCGCAAGUCAAAGACGUGGUGCCACCUGAUCUGUCAACUAUCAAACAUCCGACCUUCCUUGUAAUGAUCAGCCGCGACACACGAAUCCACUGUCAACAGCCCGUUUGGUCCGAACUCCCUCACGAAGUCUUCUCCUGAUAGGACCACAAGAUUAUUAUUUUUUAGAUCAGAGCGCCACUAGGACCACAAGAUAUAGACCUAUAUGCUCGAACCACUUCUUGCGCGUGUCGAUGGUAGACACACAAGUUAACAAUUGCAAACGCUGUACUAACAACACUCAAACUUAACUUACUUGCUAAGUUCUCUGGAAGUGUAUGACAACAUCCUGUCAUAGAAAGUAGCAUGUCUCUUGUGUUUGGCUCUUCAUCCUUCAAACCAGCUUUUCCUCAGAACUUAUCACCCAUCUCACCCUUCACGAUGUCCUGACCAUGCCUAUCUGCAACCUUAGGUUACUCCUCAUCCAGCCUGACACCACGCACAAUCCCCUACCCACUUCAUCCUCAUGCUCAUGGAUGUCGGCAAAGAACUAUGUUAACUGAAUGCAAAGAUAACUCAAUUUUUAGAACAAAGCGAAAUGACAGAUGAUAACCUGAUUGUCUAGCAACAUCAUUGCGGUCAUAUUGCAUCAAGGCUUCAGGCACAUCGCAAGGUGUCCCAUCCCCUGCAAAUUCAAAAUGUUGCAGCAAAAUUUCAAUGAUCUCACAACACUCGGUCAGUCCAUCUGAAUGAUCUCACAACCUGUCACUGCAUUGUUGACACAACAACUCUUUUUCUGCCCCCUCGUACCCCUCCCAGAGCCAGCAUCAGCACCUGAUUUGCACAUAAUAUAUUUAAUAUCCCAGAGACGUAAGCGGGCCUCCAACACAUGGAAAUGACCUGGGUACAUUAUUAGUGCCAAUACCUCCACUAGUAUGAUUACUACCACG
rnacentral:lncRNA from 1 species